rnacentral:rRNA from 1 species
CUCGUAGGCGGUUCGUCGCGUCCGGUGUGAAAGUCCAUCGCUUAACGGUGGAUCCGCGCCGGGUACGGGCGGGCUUGAGUGCGGUAGGGGAGACUGGAAUUCCCGGUGUAACGGUGGAAUGUGUAGAUAUCGGGAAGAACACCAAUGGCGAAGGCAGGUCUCUGGGCCGUCACUGACGCUGAGGAGCGAAAGUCGUGGGGAGCGAACA